rnacentral:rRNA from 1 species
ACUCAAAGGAAUUGACGGGGACCCGCACAAGCGGUGGAGCGUGUGGUUUAAUUCGACGCUAAGCGAAGAACCUUACCAGGACUUGACAUCCCGAUCGUAUCUCUUGGAAACAAGAGAGUCAGUUUGCUGGAUCGGUGACAGGUGCUGCAUGGUCGUCGUCAGCUCGUGUCGUGAGAUGUUGGGUUAAGUCCCGCAACGAGCGCAACCCUUGUCGCGUGUUGUAUUUUUCACGCGAGACUGCCUCGGUCAACGAGGAGGAAGGUGGGGAUGACGUCAGAUCAGCAUGGCCCUUAUGUCCUGGGCGACACACGCGCUACAAUGGCCGGUCCAAUGGGUCGCGAAGGAGCAAUCCGGAGCUAAUCCCAUCAAAGCCGGUCCCAGUUCGGAUUGGAGGCUGCAACUCGCCUCCAUGAAGCCGGAAUCGCUAGUAAACGCAGAUCAGCCACGCUGCGUUGAAUACGUUCUCGGGUCUUGUACACACCGCCCGU